AAAGUUUUAGUAUAAUAAAGUAUAUUUUAUUGUCAAUAAAAAGGUAAAAACUUUAAUUUAA
rnacentral:tRNA from 1 species